GAGUUUUCUGCAAUGAAAUUGCACUUUUCUUGCAGAAGUGUUGUCAAAACGCCGACACCAUGUUCCAUUGAUUGGAACUGUAAUAAAAAAGUGCAAUUCCAGUGCAAUUUCGGGGCAGAAAUUUGGCACCGAAAAUUUUGUCGGUGGAGCCAGUGCACUCACCAAUACUAACAACGCAAAUGUCAAAACAACAUUGAAAGAUGGCCGCACGAAAAAGUUUAAUCAAAAAUCUUCACGAAUGGGAACUUUUUCAAACUAGUGAGGACAGAAUUGAGAGCCCGCGAGUCUUGAAGCUUGAAUCAGAUGGAAUCUGUUUGUUCGUAAAAAGCAGUGGUUGUUGGAGUUUUCACUUCCGGAGAUGGAACAAACCAUCAUGAUAUCAACAGUGAUAGUGGGUAUUGGCUUGUCUACGCUGACUGAUAACACUCUUCUCAGGGCCCUGGAUAAACUCCACCCUAUUUGGGUGGGCAGAGCGAUUGCCCCGAACAUAUCGGUUCGGAAUCCUGAAUGGUUUCCAGCUCAAAUACAAUAACAACCAAUACCCAAAUUGGUUACUGCAUUUGCCAUAGUCUUCCGGAUUCCGGUAGAGUACCCAAGGUGGAGCUGGCUUGCAGUACAGUGGCCGCGAAUGGAGGAUGGCAAAUCGUUGAAACUGUGUGAUGUGUCCGUGGGUUCUAGGGAACCUUCCCAGCCAUCGAAAUUAGUCGUUUACCAAAUUUUUUCGUAUGGAGAGAUGUAAUUUGUAAUGCCGGUAGGACAAAUUGAUCCUUAAGAAGCAGUUCUAUAUAAUUUGAAAAUUCCAAUUCAUCGAAAAUAACAUGUUUUAUUGAA